rnacentral:lncRNA from 1 species
CGAGCAUGAAUUAGAUUACUCAGGCUAGAAAAAGAGCCGCGGCGAGCGGGCUUCGCGAGCGCUUUCCGGGAAGGUCGGUGGGUUCCGCCUUGGAGCGGGUGGCGGUGCCUUUUCCCCCCUUACGGUUUCUGGAAAUGCGGGGUUUCAGCUGCCGUGGGAGGGGAGGCCCGUAUAAUGCACAGUGAGUGCUGCGUUGUAUGUCUCGGAGCACUUCGGUCCAGUUGCAAAGGAAUGGCUCCAGCCUUCGUUUGUUUGCUGCCUCUUGAAAGCCAGGAUUGCUAGCAUUCAGGGCCCCAUUCAGACGUGGCUUGUCGCAAGGCGGCUUCUUUGGGUGUCCCUGGGCGCGUCUCUGUUCCACGUGGUGACUCUGGUGUCGCUGAAGUUUCUGUCGAAUGUCUUACUCUGCACGUUGCUUUUGCUUUUUGGGCUUUAAAAAGGCAACCCCGAAAUGCUGUCCUUUUUAAAAUAACUUCAGUGAUGUUAACACUUGCAAAUGAUAUCGGCGGGAAGGACAGUUGAAACUACCUUUAAUUAUGUUGUCCCUCACCUAUAAGAAGAGCAAGUUGCAUUUUUGGUACUUUGAAAAAGAAAACCUCCGUUUCAAUUUUAUGCAACAGGUUCCUGAAAUAGAGUGGAUGGCAAGCCUACGACCUAAUCAAGUCCGGUGGUUGCUGUGGCUAGAGCUGAUGGAUGUUGUUGUGUUGGGUUCUGUUGGGUUCUACGAGGGCUGAAUGAAAAGGGAUGCCUCCAAAAUCCUGUCCUGCCUUAGAAGCCCAGAUAUAAUCUUUAGUAUCUGUUCUUUCACCUCUGUUGGCGGGAAGUUGCUGUGAGGAAAAGUUGUGUUGCUCUUGUUUGUGAAAUGGAAGCCUUCGCUGAAUAUUCCUCAGUACGCUUUAAACAACGUGCUGUGAUUGAGUUUUUGACGGCUGAAGGAGUUCCUCCAAUUGAAAUUCACCGCCAAAUGCUUGCUGUUUAUGGGGAUUGUGUGGAUGUGAGUACGGUGCGUCGCUGGGCAAAAAAAUGUAAAGGUGGUAAACCAGGAAGAACUGAUUUAUGUGAUCAAGAACGCAGUGGAAGACCAGUGACUGCCACUGAUCAGUUUCAUGUGAAAAAAGUUGAUGAACUGAUCAAGAACAAUCAGCAGAUCACUCAAAGAGAAAUUGCUGCCAAGCUUGGCAUUUCACAGGAACGUGUGGGACACAUUAUUGAUAUUCUUCAGUAUCGGAAAGUUUGUGCAAGAUGGGUUCCUCGUGUGCUGACACCAGAGAUGUAUGCAGCAUAUACAGAUGAUGCUCUAGAGGAAGAUAUACUUUGAAGACUUGUAUGCUGCAAGAUCUUAAUUUUCUACAUACCACUGGAAGAAGGUGUGUUCUCUUCCCCACAGCUAUUGGAAGAGACUCAACAUUUAGAGAGCUGCAGGGGUUAGAAUGCAGCACUGCUGAUUGUCAGCUGCCUGCAGUUUGAAUCUCACUAGGCUCAAGGUUGACUCAGCCUUCCAUCCUUCUGAGGUCUGUAAAAUGAGGACCCAGAUUGCUGGGGGCAAUAUCCUGACUCUGUAAACAGCUUACAGAGCUGUUGUAAACAGACUGGGAAGUGCUAUUGAUAUUUAGAUGUGCCAAGUUAUUCUGUAUAUCAAUUAGUUGGCAGAGGAAUAUAUGUGAUUUUAUAUUAAAAUCUUUCUUCUGAAGAAAUGAAAAUAUAAUUGUAAGGAGAUGGACAUUUGCAAGG